rnacentral:rRNA from 1 species
GAGUUUGAUCCUGGCUCAGGAUGAACGCUAGCUACAGGCUUAACACAUGCAAGUCGAGGGGCAGCAUGAAAGUUUGCUUGGAAACUUUUGAUGGCGACCGGCGCACGGGUGAGUAACACGUAUCCAACCUGCCUCAUACUCGGGGAUAGCCUUUCGAAAGAAAGAUUAAUACCCGAUGUCAUAGUCCUACCGCAUGAUGGGAUUAU